rnacentral:rRNA from 1 species
GACGAACGCUGGCGGCGUGCUUAACACAUGCAAGUCGAACGGAAAGGCCUCUUUCGGGGGGUACUCGAGUGGCGAACGGGUAGGAAAACGUGAGUAACCUGCCCCUGACUUUGGGAUAACUUCAGGAAAACGGGGCCAAUACCGGAUAGGAGCUCCUGGCGCAAGGGGGGGGGUGGAAAGUUUCGGCGGUUGGGGAUGGACUCGCGGCUUAUCAGCUUGUUGGUGGGGUAGUGGCUUACCAAGGCUUUGACGGGUAGCCGGCCUGAGAGGGUGACCGGCCACAUUGGGACUGAGAUACGGCCCAGACUCCUACGGGAGGCAGCAGUGGGGAACAUUGCACAAUGGGUGGAAGCCUGAUGCAGCAACGCCGUGUGCGGGAUGACGGCCUUCGGGUUGUAAACCGCUUUCGCUCAUGACGAAGCUUUGUGUGACGGUAGUGGGUAAAGAAGCACCGGCUAACUACGUG